rnacentral:rRNA from 1 species
GUCUACGGCCAUGCCACCCUGAACAAGCCUGAUGUCUGAUCUCGGAAGCUAAGCAGGGUCGGGCCUGGUUAGUACUUGGAUGGGAGACCACCUAGGAAGACCAGGUGCUAUAGGCA